rnacentral:rRNA from 1 species
AUUGAACGCUGGCGGCAGGCCUAACACAUGCAAGUCGAGCGAGCGGCGGACGGGUGAGUAAUGUCUGGGAAACUGCCUGAUGUAGGGGGAUAACUACUGGAUACGGUAGCUAAUACCGCAUACCAUCAGAUGUGCCCCGAUGGGAUUAGCUAGUGGGUGGGGUAACGGCUCACCUCGGCGACGAUCCCUAGCUGGUCUGAGCGGAUGACCAGCCACACUGGAACGGAGACACGGUCCAGACUCCUACGGGAGGCAGCAGGGGGGAAUAGGGCACAAUGGGGGGAAGCCUGAUGCAGCCAGGCCGCGUGGGGGAAGAAGGCCUUCGGGUUGUAAAGCACUUUCAGCGGGGAGGCGUUACCCGCAGAAGAAGCACCGGCUAACUCCGUGCCAGCAGCCGCGGUAAUAC